UACUGUGCCGCCUGGUGGAUGGCUCGGCUCGAGUGCCGACGACGGACGUGCCAAGCUGCGAUAAGCCUGAGGGAGCCGCACGGAGGCGUAGAACUCAGGAUGUCCGAAUGGGAAUCCCUCUAACAAUUGCUGUGCGCAAUGGGGAACGACCGGAAUUGAAACAUCUUAGUACGGUCAGGAAGAGAAAUCGAAUGAGACGCCGUUAGUAACCGCGAGUGAAGGCGGCUCAGUCCAAACUGAAGCCUUCUGGGCGAUGUGGUGUAUGGGCUGACUUUCAUCGAAUGAACGAUCGUGGGAAGUCUCCUGAAACGGAGCGCGAUACAGGGUGACAGCCCCGUAUAGCGAUCAAGUAGUUCGUGCGUCAGUUCCAGAGUAGCGGGGACCGGAAAUUCCUCGUGAAUGUAGCAGGCAUCGACUGCUAAGACUAAGUACUCCUCGAGACCGAUAGUGAACAAGUAGCGUGAGCGAACGCUGAAAAGCAUCCCGAGAAGGGAGCUGAAAUAGAGCCUGAAAUCAGGUGGCGAUGGAGCGACUGGGCAUGAAAGGCCCUCUGGAGAACGAGGCGCGUGCAAGCGCGUAGUAGGAGUCAGAGGGAGCCGAUGUCCGGUCGUACGUUUUGAAAAACGAACCAGGGAGUGUGUUUGUUUGGCGAGUCUAACCCGAGUAUCGGGGAAGGCAUAGGGAAACCGACAUGGUCGCAGCAUUGCGAGGACCGCCGUCUUCAAGGGCGGGGAGUCAGACGAACACGACCCGAAACCGAGUGAUCUACGCGUGGGCAAGGUGAAGCAUGGCGAAAGCCAUGUGGAGGCCUGUUAGGGGUGGUGUCUUACAAUACCCUCCCGUGACCUACGUGUAGGGGUGAAAGGCCCAUCGAACUCGGCAACAGCUGGUUCCGACCGAAACAUGUCGAAGCAUGACCUUCGCCGAGGUAGUUCGUGAGGUAGAGCAACCGAUUGGGGAGUCCGCCUCCGAGAGGAGUCGGCCCCCCUGUCGAACUCCGAACUUACGGACGCCGUGGACGCGAGGAAUCCGGUGUGCGGGGUAAGCCUGUGCACCGUAAGGGAGACAACCCAGAGUAAGGUUAAGGUCCCAAAGUACGAGCUAAGUGCGAUUGAAGGUGGUCUCGAGCCCUAAACAGCCGGGAGGUGAGCUUAGAAGCAGCUAUCCUCCAAGAAAAGCGUAACAGCUUACCGGCCGAGGUUCGAGGCGCCCAAAAUGAUCGGGGCUCAAGUUCGUCACCGAGACCUUACGGCACCCUUAAGCGGGUGAUCCAGUAGGUCGGCGUUCCGUUCGGGUGGAAGCAUGGGCGAGAGUUCGUGUGGACCGGAUGGAAACGAAAAUCCUGGUCAUAGUAGCAGCGUUAGUCGGGUGUGAACCCCGACGACCGCAAGAGCAAGGGUUCCUCGGCACUGCUGUUCAGCCGAGGGUUAGUCGGUCCUAAGUCCCACCGUAAUUCGAAUGGGACAAAUGGGAAACUGGUUAAUAUUCCAGUACUGUUGUGCAGUGAAAGUCGACGCCUCGGGGUAUAUCGAGCCGGACGAUCGUCCGGUCGAAUCGUCGAAAUCCGUGGAAGCCGUAAUGGCAGGAAGCGGACGAAUGGCGAGAGAGGGAAACUCGAUUCAACCUGGGGCCCGUGAAAAGACGAGCACGACAUCCGUACCGAGAUCCGACACAGGUGCUCUGGCUUAGAAAGCCAAGGUCUGUCGGGAACAACCGACGUCAGGGAAUUCGGCAAAUUGGUCCCGUAAGUUCGCGAUAAGGGAUGCCUGCCUCGGGAUGAGGCAGGUCGCAGUGACAUGGAAGCUCCGACUGUCUAGUAACAACAUAGGUGACCGCAAAUCCGCAAGGACUCGUACGGUCACUGAAUCCUGCCCAGUGCGGGUAUCUGAACACCUCGUACAAGAGGACGAAGGACCCGUUAACGGCGGGGGUAACUAUGACCCUCUUAAGGUAGCGUAGUACCUUGCCGCUUCAGUAGCGGCUUGCAUGAAUGGAUCAACGAGAGCUUCACUGUCCCGACGUUGGGCCCGGUGAACUGUACGUUCCAGUGCGGAGUCUGGAGACCCCCAAGGGGAAGCGAAGACCCUAUAGAGCUUUACUGCAGGCUGUCGCUGGGACACGGUCGCUGAUGUGCAGAAUAGGUAGGAGGCAUUACACAGGUACCCGCGCUAGCGGGCCACCGAGUCAUCAGUGAAAUACUACCCGUCAGUGACUGUGACCCUAACUCCGGGAGGAGGACACCGGUAGCCGGGCAGUUUGACUGGGGCGGUACGCGCUCGAAAAGAUAUCGAGCGCGCCCUACGUCCAUCUCAUCCCGUGUCGGAGACGCGGAGAAGAGUGCAAGAGCAUAAGAUGGGCUGACAGUAUUCUUCACAACGAGGGAUGCUGACGCGAAAGCGUGGUCUAGCGAACCUAUGAGCCUGCUUGAUGCGGGCCAUAGAUGACAGAAAAGCUACCUUAGGGAUAACAGAGUCGUCACUCGCAAGAGCACAUAUCGACCGAGUGGCUUGCUACCUCGAUGUCGGUUCCCUCCAUCCUGCCCGUGCAGAAGCGGGCAAGGGUGAGGUUGUUCGCCUAUUAAAGGAGGUCGUGAGCUGGGUUUAGACCGUCGUGAGACAGGUCGGCUGCUAUCUAUUGGGGGUGUAUUGGUGCUUGACGAGAACGUUCGUAUAGUACGAGAGGAACUACGAACGGUCACCACUGGUGUACCGGUCGUUCGAGAGAGCGCGUGCCGGGCAGCUACGUGACACGGGGUAAGAGCUGAACGCAUCUAAGCUCGAAACCCACUUGGAAAAGAAGCACCGGUGAGAUCACUCGUAGAAGACGAGGUGGAUAGACUCGGGAUGUACGCGCCGAGGCAACGAGGCGUUGAGUCCGCGAGCACUAACGAUCGAAGCCACACAUU
rnacentral:rRNA from 1 species